rnacentral:rRNA from 1 species
UACAGAGGGUGCUAGCGUUGUUCGGAAUCAUUGGGCGUAAAGGGCGUGUAGGCGGUUUGUUAAGUCAUGUGUGAAAGCCCCCGGCUCAACCGGGGAACGACGCAUGAAACUGGCAGCUAGAGUACCGAAGAGGGGGGUGGAAUUCCCGGUGUAGCGGUGAAAUGCGUAGAUAUUCGGAGGAACACCAGUGGCGAAGGCGGCUCACUGGCUCGGUACUGACGCUGAGGUGCGAAAGCGUGGGGAGCAAACAGG